rnacentral:lncRNA from 1 species
AGCCCGUGUCCCCGCCUUCCCCGCGGGCGACGGGCGGCGGCAGCGACGGCGGCGGGAGGAACGGGCCGAGCCGCGGCAGCCCGGUCCUUGCACGCUGGGAUGUAGCGAACCAGAAGGAGCCGAAGCUGCGCGCAGAGCCAAAGACGCAGCUGGGUCCCGGGCUCCAGCCGGAGCCGAAACCUCAGCCAGAGUCCGUGGCGAGCGAGCCCGGAGCCGAGGAGCCGCCGCACAAGCCGCGCAGCCCGGUUCGGCUAUGCCGCAGAAAAGCAGCAGACGUCGGCCGAUGUCCCGCCUCGCACCCCGAUGUCCCGCCGCAUUGCUUGGAGACGCCCCCGGCCCAAGGCGGCCUGCCCUGGCCCGCGCAGGUCGGGCUUCUCCUUGCCCUGAGCGAAACCCAAAAUGCUCUUCCGCAAAAUCCAAUAAAGACAUUCCCGACGCCUCUCCAGGAUCUGGGUGUUGACGCAGGGUUCCCAAGCUUAGAGCCGCUUCUCUAGAGCCGGGUUUCGGAAUUCUGAAAUUGACCAGCCUUCUAAAUCUGAGCGGAUUCGACGUGGUAAAGCGAGGGCCCCCCUGAUCCAGAUCGCAGAAAUGGGAACCCCAGGUGGGCGCCCCGGUGCCAAGGUUUUCCGAUUUAGGAAUGCCCUUGAUCAAAAUAUUUGAGUCCACUUUUCCAAGAAAGUAAGGCUCAGGUAUUCUUUUGGCAUCCCUGUGACUUCUGGCAGCCAUCAGGGCCAGAGGGAGGCAACCUAUAUUGCUGUCCACUAGGCCAAGGAAACAGAUCCAGGGUCAUGACAAAAGCUAGAGGCGAAGGGGCAGCACUCGAGGGGGACGUGCUGGCCGUCUGCCUUCCUCAGACUGCUUUGAAAUGCCUCAUCUCUGCUCAGAAAAGGAAAAGAAGUGGACAGAAACGUACAGAUCAGGCUGCCUGGACUCUAGGAUGUAUUGUUGACCUUCAGGCCAGGCUCAGAGUGCCCUUCUCUCAGGAAAGCAGCUGCUGGGAAGAGAAGGCUGUGUACAGCAAAAGCUGACCCUCUGCUUCCCAGUUUGUGGCAGCCAUAGCCACUUGCCCAGCCUUCUCUUCCCUGGCUCAGCCAUUCUCAGGAACCAAAUAGCGACCAGUGGGCUCAAGGGAGCCCUGAGCCUGGAGAGCGAUGGGCCCUACCAGCUGCUGACGGAGAGUUCUGAGUUUCAUGCUCCCCUCGGCGCCCCCACUAAGCCCUCCUGCCAGAAUGCAUCCCAGCUCUUCCCACCAGGACAAGCCGCCGGGGAACCCCAAUUGAAAGAAAGCUGACCAACGGGGACCUCAAAGCCUAAAGGAUCCAGUGAUACCAUUCCCAGCCUGUACCUGGGCACCCCUUUCCCCAGUCACCCAGCGAGUGCUUGUAUUCAAAGAAACAAGAGUUUUUAUUGGGGAGAGGGUGUUAGAUCUGGCAGAAGGAGGUAGGUGGUCCCGGCUGCACUCCCCAGACUGGGUUUUCUAGUUUGAACUUCUCC